UACGUAGGGUGCAAGCGUUGUCCGGAAUUAUUGGGCGUAAAGAGCUCGUAGGUGGCCUGUCGCGUCGGCUGUGAAAACUCGGGGCUCAACUCCGAGCUUGCAGUCGAUACGGGCAGGCUAGAGUUCGGCAGGGGAGACUGGAAUUCCUGGUGUAGCGGUGAAAUGCGCAGAUAUCAGGAGGAACACCCGUGGCGAAGGCGGCUCUCUGGAACGCAACUGACGCUGAGACGCGAAAGCGUGGGGAGCAAACAGG
rnacentral:rRNA from 1 species